rnacentral:lncRNA from 1 species
GGGCUCAUGAGGGUGGCUGUUGAGUCUUAGAGAGAAAGUUCAUUGGGAAUGGAAUAUUAGCAUGAACAAGGACAGAAGCAAUGUCCUAACCAUCCUCUAGACACUUGGUUCUAAAGCCAUUUCUGCUCUGUAACCUCCCAAUUGGAUGUGCACAUGAAUUAUGUUUUUUUUUUAAAUUAAUGAGUGAAAAUUCAUUCAUGAUCACUUAAAAUUGAAUAUGUUUAGUAAAAAUUGGAAAGCACAGAAAGAAGGUUUGAGAAGGGCCUUAUGAAACUUCAAGGUCUUGUAGACCUAGUCACAGAAAAUCAUGUGGAUUGAAAAUGAGAAUGCUAUGACUGAUGGUGAUUUUACUGCCUGAAUGGUACAUCUCAGCUGCUUACUCUUAGCUUAUAAAGACAAAAAUAUGGCAAACCAGAUUUCUUGUAUACUAAAAAAGUUUCAGUAAGGCUACUGAGUGAUAAUCACCCUAUUUUGUAGAAAAUACCCUCUAAUUUAUGAGACAGUUUUCAAAUGACCUGACAAUGACCAUCAUCACUGACCUAACCUGUAUAGUCACAUGCUCUCAAUGGGUCCUCAGAAGAGAAGUCCAAGCUAAAAAAAUUUCACAUACACCACAAGAAUUACUAAUAAGCUUAGUUGAUGCAUGCCAGGAUAAUUUUAGUUAAAAGCCUCUAGCAUUCUGCAACAUCUGUGAUCCUGACAGUUUGGCUAAGGAAUUAUUGGCCUGCCAAUAUCAGCAAACUUCGGAAUGUCUUUUCAGAAGAAAAAGAUGAAAGAAAAAGGGAGUGAUUGGAAGAGUUGGAAGUAAUAUCAACAGCAAAGCUUGGAGCAGAGAAAAGAAGCAAAUUUUCAGCUUAGCUUCCCAGGCAGAAGAGUGGAGAAGACAAACUGGGAGAUAUCUGAACACUUUGGGGAGAGAUCAGAAAGAGACAUGAGCAGGACUAAUGAAGAAGAGUGAGAAAAGGACAUUAGAAAGAAGCCCAAAGAUGAGUAAGCCUGGGCUCAAGUGGUACAAGCAUUUCAUCAGAUAAGCUAUACAUCACUCUUAUUUUGAAUCCCAGUGUUUAACAAUAUAGUAUCAAAUUAAACACUUGCCUGAAAUAAUGAUUACAAAUGACUUUUAAUUAUUAUCCUCUUAAU